ensembl:snRNA U6 U6 spliceosomal RNA
GUGCUCACUUCGGCAGCACGUACACUAAAAUUGGAAGGAUGCAGAGAAGAUUAGCACUAGCACGGCCCCUGCACAAGGGUGACACGCAAAUUCGUGAAGCAUUUCAUAUUUUU